rnacentral:tRNA from 2 species
AGGAGUGUAGCUCAGUUAGGGAGAGCAGCGGUCUCCAAAACCGCAGGGCGGGGGUUCGAGUCCCUCCACUCCUGCCA